rnacentral:sRNA from 1 species
GCUUAUGAUGGCAACUAAGGCUUUGUUUU